AAGGUAGCAUAAUCAGUAGUCUUUUAAUUGGAGGCUGGUAUGAAUGGUUGGACGAGAUAUUAACUGUUUCAUUUAAAAUUUUAUAGAAUUUUAUUUUUUAGUUAAAAAGCUAAAAUAAAAUUAAAAGACGAGAAGACCCUAUAAAUCUUUAUAUUUAUUUUAUUUUAAUUAUAAAGAUUAUUUUAAUUAUAAUUAAAAUAAAUAUUUUAUUGGGGUGAUAUUAAAAUUUAAUAAACUUUUAAUUUUUAAUAACAUUAAUUUAUGAUUAAUUGAUCCAUUAUUAAUGAUUAAAAAUUUAAGUUACUUUAGGGAUAACAGCGUAAUUUUUUUGGAGAGUUCAUAUCGAUAAAAAAGAUUGCGACCUCGAUGUUGGAUUAA
rnacentral:rRNA from 1 species